rnacentral:tRNA from 1 species
GGCGCAGUAGUCCAAUAGGCAGAAGACACAGCACUCAAAAUGCUGACAGUUUCGGUUCGAGUCCGAAGUGCGCUA